rnacentral:rRNA from 1 species
AUUGAACGCUGGCGGCAGGCCUAACACAUGCAAGUCGAGCGAGAGCAGGAGGGGUGUGUAAUGUAUGGGGACCGCCCGACAGAGGGCGAUAACUGCUGGAAACGGACGCGAAUACCGCAAACCGUCGGAUAACCCUUAUGGGAUUAGCUAGUAGGGCAGGGAAUGGCUUACCUAGGCGACGAUCUCGAGCUGGUCUGAGAGGAUGAUCAGCCACACGGGGACUGAGACACGGCCCAGACUCCUACGGAGGCAGCAGUGGUGAAUAUUGCACAAUGGGCGCAAGCCUGAUGCAGCCAUGCCGCGUGUAUGAAGAAGGCCUUAAGGUUGUAAAGUACUUUCAGUCGGGAGGCGUUACCGACAGAAGAAGCACCGGCUAACUCCGUGCCAGCAGCCGCGGUAAUUC